rnacentral:rRNA from 1 species
UACGUAGGGGUCGAGCGUUGUCCGGAGUUACUGGGCGUAAAGCGUGCGCAGGCGGCUCAUCGCGCUCGGCGUGAAAGCCCCCGGCUCAACCGGGGAGGGUCGUCGAGGACGGGUGAGCUUGAGGGUAUCAGGGGUUGGUGGAAUUCCCGGUGUAGUGGUGAAAUGCGUAGAUAUGCGGAGGAACACCGAUGGCGAGGGCAAUCCCCUGGACCUGUACUGACGCUCAUGCACGAAAGCGUGGGGAGCAAACAGG